rnacentral:lncRNA from 1 species
UGAAUAAGGUCCUAGAGGGGAGAAAAGAAGCUUACAUAUGAUACUACACGACACCAAAUGCAUACAGUAACAAGUUGGGUCAACAAAGCCUUACCAGGAGUUCAUUGCCGGCUCUGGCAUAUGGCAGCGGCAAUGAAGGAGCACCUAUGUCAAGAGAAAUCACACAUGUCCUGAACCCUGGGCAUCAUUUUAACUUACAAACUGCAUCACCAAAUAAUACUACCAGGUUAGUGACAACCUUAAAAUGGAAUCAGGCAGUCUCACGUUUUGAGCCACUUGUAAGAUCAAUUCCAGUUUUCUUUAACUCGGAUGUGAAAGCAAAAAACUUGCCAGAAUUAGCAAGGAUUCCUCUGCCUAACUAGAUUCAGCACGAUACAAGCAGGGCACCUUAUGUUCUGCACCUAGCACGGCAAGCUUUGCAAUAAAAUAAACUAGCACAUCAAGGUUGUCACAUGAAAACUGACAUAACAGUCAGGUUCAGAGCAAACAAAAAUGCUCUACAAGGAUUAAGGGAUCACUAUGUCAAAAUCCACAAGUAAACUAACAACUUAAACAGGUUGCCAAUUCCAUACCAAACCAAGUUUUAUGCAUCAGUAUUACCAUGCGGAAUCACACACAGAGACCACCAUGACAAUGCAAAGGCCUAACUUAGGUUCGAGUUUGUGUACAUAUAAAAGCAGGAAACAGGGAUGGCUAGUACAAAAUGCUAAUUCGACUUAACCCAUUUGUUGGACACCUUGCUCUGGCCGGCGCCGCCGUACGCCCUCACUGACGCCUCCAGCCUCGCCCCGUUCAGCUCUCUGACUGCACAAAAAAAUGAUACACUUCAUAACUUGCAAUUUUGAGAAUGUACUGAAUAAAUAUGCUGCCCACCCGAUUGAGCGAGCCACAUGAAUUGUUGCUUGAGUUGACUUGAGAAAGCGAUAGUACGCUGAAGGAAUAAUCUAUAGUCCUGGUCAAUCAACGAUGACCCAUGAGGCCAAUACAGUAGAGCAUAGGCACAAAUCGUAUGCUUGUUGCUCACGGACAUACUGCUAGUACCGACAUUCACACAACACAAGACAACUACCAAGCAUCCAACAUCAGUGGCUUAUCUCCUCUAAAAGUGCAACCUUAUUUUGCAUCUACACUAGCCCCUAAUCGUGCAACAAUUUACAGUAAUUUGAGG